rnacentral:antisense_RNA from 1 species
GCCGUAGGCUUCUUCACUGUGAAGCAAACACAAGUUUUUGACAGAAGAGAAGAACACAUACACUCAAGAUCUCGAUGCAAUUCUCACACGAAUAAGGUAAGGAAAAGGCGUACUUAUCGCCGGAGGAGAAGCUGUAGAGCUUGCCGGAGGCGGAGACGACGAGAAGAGCGACGGAUGCGUCACAGAGAACAGAAAGCUGACGAGCUUUCUCGAUGAGACCGUUGCGACGUUUGGAGAAGGUGACUUGUCGGCUACUUUUGUUCUCAAUUCGCUUGAUUUCUAGUUUUUUUCUUCCCAUGGCUUCUCUCCGAGAGGGCUUUGUGCCCUAAUUUGAUCCUCAGGUUUGGGUUCAAGUCGCCGGAGAUAC